UUGCCCUAUCUUCCAUCCCCUUUCAGUAUGCUCUUCUCAAAUCAACUAAAAAAAGGAAAAACAACCGUCUGUCUUCUCUAGUCGCCAUUCUCUGUCUAACUAGAGCUCCCAGUCAUCACAGCCCCAACAGCACCAGCGUGGGAAGAGCCUCACAGACUGUCUGUAACAGCGGCGGCAGCGACUUCUCACGGGUUCUCCAUCCGGCAUCCAGAACCAAUUACUUGCAAUGAAUUACAUACAUGAGGGAACAGAUGAUAACAUAUGGGUUAAGAACAAUUUUAAGUUGAAAGAUUACUCAAUUAAUGAUAUUCGUGUCAAUCUUUAUCAAGUGAGAAUUGGCAACUGAAUCAUAAAACUGAGGCAGCAGUGGGAGUGUUGGUUGCUGUUUUGUUCUGUUAAUGCUGGUGCUAUUUUCUUUUUAUUGUUUUCUGUUGGUGUCUUGCCAACAUUUAGUGUGUCAAUCUAGUUGAGAUAUGUUCCACUAGCAAUGAUGCAAUGUUAUCACCAAACUACUGGAUUUGAAAACAAUUCAAAUUUGCAGAUGUUAUAAUAGCGGUUAGUGUUUCGAUAAUGAUACUUCUCCAACUCCGGCAACGUUCAUGCAUUCCAUAGCUAUAGCAAACAUGCAAUUUCCAACACAUUCUGUAUUGAAUAAUUGCAUACCAUAGCAAAUAAUAAAGCCUUUUGUCUUGAGUACAAUUCUAUAGCACAAUAAAUGUGUUCUUUAAUACUAUCAACUAUUCUCUUAGCCCUUCUGUCUCUUUCUAUCCAUGCAGCUGUAACAGCUUUAAUAAAAGACCUUAUUCUAUCCUUUUACAAUUGUUUGAGGAGCAAAAACUAACAAAAUAGUUACUAAAGCUAGACACAGCUUAGUUGGGCCAAUUGUAGAAGACUUGCAUAGUGCCUAUCUAAGAAGCAUGGACACGGGCACGUGACACGACACGGACACGCUGACACGUUAAUUUUCAAAAAAUGUAGGACACGACACGUGAGG